CCUANUGGAGGCUGCAGUCGGGAAUAUUGGGCAAUGGGCGCAAGCCUGACCCAGCGACGCCGCGUGAGGGAUGAAGGCCUUCGGGUCGUAAACCUCUGUCGGGAGGGAAGAAUGGCGGUGAGGUGAAUAAUCUCGCUGUCUGACGGUACCUCCAAAGGAAGCGCCGGCUAACUCCGUGCCAGCAGCCGCGGUAAUACGGAGGGCGCAAGCGUUGUUCGGAAUCACUGGGCGUAAAGCGCGUGUAGGCGGCCGGGCAAGUCGGAUGUGAAAUCCCGGGGCUCAACCCCGGAACUGCAUCCGAUACUGCCGCGCUUAGAGGAUUGGAGAGGUAGCUGGAAUUCUUGGUGUAGCAGUGAAAUGCGUGGAUAUCAAGAGGAACACUCGUGGCGAAAGCGAGCUACUGGACAACUCCUGACGCUGAGGCUCGAAGGCCAGGGUAGCGAAAGGGAUUAGAUACCCUGNUANUC
rnacentral:rRNA from 1 species